AGCCUGAACCAGCCAAGUAGCGUGCAGGAUGACGGCCCUAUGGGUUGUAAACUGCUUUUAUGCGGGGAUAAAGUGAGGGACGUGUCCUUCAUUGCAGGUACCGCAUGAAUAAGGACCGGCUAAUUCCGUGCCAGCAGCCGCGGUAAUACGGAAGGUCCGGGCGUUAUCCGGAUUUAUUGGGUUUAAAGGGAGCGUAGGCCGUGGAUUAAGCGUGUUGUGAAAUGUAGACGCUCAACGUCUGACUUGCAGCGCGAACUGGUCCACUUGAGUGUGCGCAACGCAGGCGGAAUUCGUCGUGUAGCGGUGAAAUGCUUAGAUAUGACGAAGAACUCCGAUUGCGAAGGCAGCUUGCGGGAGCACAACUGACGCUGAAGCUCGAAAGUGCGGGUAUCGAACAGGAUUAGAUACCCUGGUAGUCCGCACGGUAAACGAUGGAUGCCCGUUGUCAGGCUGUUUCAGCCUGGUGACCAAGCGAAAGCAUUAAGCAUCCCACCUGGGGAGUACGCCGGCAACGGUGAAACUCAAAGGAAUUGACGGGGGCCCGCACAAGCGGAGGAACAUGUGGUUUAAUUCGAUGAUACGCGAGGAACCUUACCCGGGCUUGAACUAAGAGUGACGAGUGCAGAGAUGCGCUUAUUCUUCGGACACUUUUGGAGGUGCUGCAUGGUUGUCGUCAGCUCGUGCCGUGAGGUGUCGGCUUAAGUGCCAUAACGAGCGCAACCCCUUUCUUCAGUUGCCAUCAGGUAAUGCCGGGCACUCUGGAGACACUGCCACCGUAAGGUGUGAGGAAGGUGGGGAUGACGUCAAAUCAGCACGGCCCUUACGUCCGGGGCUACACACGUGUUACAAUGGCCGGUACAGAGGGACGGUGCAAUGCAAAUCGCAUCCAAUCUUGAAAUCCGGUCCCAGUUCGGACUGGGGUCUGCAACCCGACCCCACGAAGCUGGAUUCGCUAGUAAUCGCGCAUCAGCCAUGGCGCGGUGAAUACGUUCCCGGGCCUUGUACACACCGCCCGUCAAGCCAUG
rnacentral:rRNA from 1 species